UACAGAGGUCUCAAGCGUUGUUCGGAUUCAUUGGGCGUAAAGGGUGCGUAGGCGGCGCGGUAAGUCGGGGGUGAAAUCCUGGAGCUCAACUCCAGAACUGCCUUCGAUACUGGCGAUCUUGAGUCCGGAAGAGGUGAGUGGAACUCCUAGUGUAGAGGUGGAAUUCGUAGAUAUUAGGAAGAACACCAGUGGCGAAGGCGGCUCACUGGUCCGGUACUGACGCUGAGGUGCGAAAGCGUGGGGAGCAAACAGG
rnacentral:rRNA from 1 species